rnacentral:lncRNA from 1 species
GAGCCUGACUAUGGUUAUUGUCCUUUGUUUUUAUGGUUUUUCUUUUGCUUGAGGACAAGCAAACAUUCAAGUUUGGGGGUAUUUGACAUGGAAAUUUAUUUCACACAUUUUCUUAGUCUUAAUUAUUUUAUUUUAGAGUGUUUUGUAUGUUCUUAGCUCAUUUGUCUAGAAUUUAGGUGUCUUUUAUAUUUAUUUAAUUCUUGAAAAUUCUUGGUAUUUUGCAGGUGUUUAAUUAUUGAAUUGGUUGAAAUUGGGCUGGUCUAGUCAACCCAGAACACUGUUCAGUUUUUGGGUUCUAACCGGAGCUACAGACCUCCGUUUCAGAUGUUGUUUAGCUUGCUGGAAAGAUAAGAUGGAGACCUAAAACUUUUAUGAAGAUCACAAAACCAAGUUCUGCCGUUUUAAAGUCCAAAACUUAGCCGAAACGGAGAAGUCCGAAUCUGUCCAGAAUUUUACUGCGGCCCAGACCCU